rnacentral:lncRNA from 1 species
UUUUUUUUUUUUGUUAAGUGGCAACAGAAGCCACCCCACCAACUUUCCGGUUGCAAACCAAGGAUUCCUCUAACGUACACAUAGGAUAGCAAAUAGAGAGUUAGAGACUUCGUUCUUCCCUCUUCUUCCCCCGGGCAAGCCCAUUAUAUUGCUUGCUUGGGAAUCAAUCACCCUAUUGGUCACUGCUCCCUCCGUCAAAAAAAAAACAAGUUAUUCUGUGUUCAAAAUUUGUCUCACUAGUCGGAGAAAAAAAAAGAAGAAGAAAAAACAUAUUCCUUGAAAGCACACACUACUGCAGCUUUGCAACAUGGACACCUACCUACUCCCACAAUUUUGCAGAGUUGAUUACCCCCUUCCCAGCACCUUUAAUCUGAUUAACCUCUUUGACGUUGAAACCAUCCCGGUCGUCCCAGCCAGUAAGAGCCCAUGCUAGCCACAGGGACGCAAACUAAACGCGGCUUUGCAAAUAUAUUAACGUACCGUCGCCGUAUGUGAAUGUGGUGCGCUCCAGCAAAUAAAACCACUAUAAAAACACAUGCUGACCAUCGCAAAAAAGGAAACAAUUAAGUUGAUGCAACUGCGAGGACGCUGACAGGCGUUGGUCGUUGGAGAAGGACCGGCCGGAUGAGGGAGUGAGGAGGCUCAAGAGAUAAAAGUUUGGGGGGUCGGACAUUCGGAUUGGUGGAUUACCAGAUUUGAUCCAGUCUGCUGGGUUCAGCGGUCGACAGAAAUGUUCUAUUCCAGUUGCCGCAGGAUGGAUAGAAUACAGCAGAAGUUAUGAGGCUAUGAGGUGAUGCAGCCAUGAGCCAUGCAGAGACUGGAACCCACUCGACCCGCGUCGCCUAGGGGUGACUUGGGCGGCGCCGCAUCCCCCACCGCUAGUGCCGCCCCCUCCUCUCCGCCUCGCCACCGCCGGAGCUCGCCGGUGGAAGCCCAUCCAGCCGCAAUGAGGACGGCGGCGGGCGCAUCUCCUCUCCCACGAAACCCCAUCUUCCCCCUCCGCAUCCUCCCCCACCCUCUCAUUUGUUGGUGGCGGCUGACGCCCCUGGAUCCAGCAAGUCCAGAUCUAGCAUCGGCAUGCCCGGAUCCGGCGCCACCCUGGUCGUUGGGGCCUCUCCUAGCGGUUCCCUAUGGGAGGGCGCUAGCAGCUCCGCAGGGACCCGUGGCCACGACGGCUGGCGAUGACGGUGGCAGGGUGGCGGUGGCGGCCCACGGUAGGAUAGGGGCACGCAUGGAGCCAACCUCUCCUAGGUUGAGCUCCGAGUGGAGGGCGCUUUCUUCACCUCCAGUGGCCGCCACUGUGGGGAGCUUGCCUCCGAUUGCCGUCCUCCCUUCAGGUCCUAUGGCCGUGCAAUGCUUUUCGUGGUUGUGCAGGUUCCCGGGCGAAAGCCUAGCUCGGUCCUCGACCAUUUGCCGGUGAUGACAGUGCUAGGGGCAUCGUUUUCCUUCUUGAAGGCGUUACCAUGAGAACCGCAACAUACAAGGAUAGAUCCAGGUGAAAACCAGAGAACCGACUUGCUGGUUCGGGCGGAGGCGGUAUCGAGAUGUUGCUCUCCUCAGAGGCGUUGUCUUGGAGUUCUUGAUGGUGACACCAUGAUCAGCUUGGAGCAAUGGCGGUGCCCGAUCUGUUUUGCGUGGUAGAGAUCGACUCAGUGCGGUUUCUAGACGACAUGGGUUGCCAGGCAGCACAUGACCAUCGAUGAUCCUUACAUCAAAAGUUUCUAAGAAGACAGCUGAUGUGAGAUGUUCGUCACUGCAUAAUGACCAAAGCAAGGUUGAAGGAAGGACAUAGAAGAAGUUCGAAGCUUAAUCUUUCAAGCUUUCUUUCUUAUUUUCUUUCUUUCUUGUCUUUUGUGUUCCUUGAUUGGAGGUUUAGAGUCUAAGUACUCGUAUAGCUUCUGGUUAUGUGGCAGGAUGUGUUACUUUAUGAUCGUAGAUAUUCACAUGUUAAUGUUCCAGAACGGAUGUUUUUCCUUAAUUUAAAAAAAAUGAGCCAUGCAGAGGGAGCUAGCCAAAAAGGAUGACUGGCAGGUACGAGCAAGUCCUCCGGUUUGGCUUUGUGGCAGCUCCCGCCCCCCAAAAAAAACCUGGAAAGGACACCUGUACGUGCUGAAGUAGCCGUAAAAUACAAGGGCUGAUCGAUCUAUACCUAGUCAACAGUCACUAGUGGUAUAAUGCUAUAAUCAGAGAUAGCGGCGAGUCAACUCAAAGGUGGCGAGCAGGUUGCCAGGGAAACAGGACCGGCAGCCUAGGGAUCGCAUGCUUGUGCCACGAGCUUUAGUUAGUGAAAUUGAAGUUCAGUGCCACGAAUUGCCACGUCCCGUUUUAAUCAGUGAGAGGAAAGGAGGAAUGACCCGUGACCGCGAGCAAGAUCCCCUGGCAAUGUCACAUGAAUUUCACAAUUCCUAGAUAACAGAUCAUUCGGCUUAGCUAAGCUGAAAAGUUGUGACGACAAUUACUUUCAGUGGCGCGUAAGGGAUGACGAACCCCAGGUGGCGGCGUGGCACAGCAAGGACGACAUCAAUUUUUUUUUCAGUGGCGGAUUGAGAAUUUCUCCAACACGGUUAAUGACAUGCAGGGUGAAAUAUUAGGACCCUUUGCAGUACCCUCUUCUUCCUCGCAGCUUCAAUAUCGACGCUUGCUUGGGGAUCAAGAACUAACCCUGGUCACUAGCCAGAGCAGAAAAUUCCAUAGCACAAUAUACACACUACCACACAGCACGAUGCACAGAUGCCUACCUACUCCUAGCUAGUACAAUUUUGCAGAUCGAGUUGAUUAUCCCCUGGCCAGAACACACCAAAUUUUAAAUCUGAUUGACCAUUUUUGCCGUUGAAACCAUCCUAGCCAGAGCCAGGAGAACCAAUAUAAUACGCAAACGCGCCUUCUGCAAAUACAGUAACAACAAGUCCGUCGUCACCGUGCAUCCAGACCACAUGCAGCGCACUCCAGCCAAUAAAACCACUAGAGAAAACACGCGCUGACCUAACAUAACUAGAUUGCAUGAACAUGGGUCAAAGGCAGCAUCAAGUUGCAUUGCUGCAAGCCUGCAACUACCAGGACAUUGACAGGCGCGGCGCUGGAGCUGGAGCUGGAAAAGGACCGGCCGGCCGGAUGAACGAAUCGGAUGAGGACACGGCACGAAUUUGGGGCUAUCGGAUUUGAACCAGUCCGAUGGAUUGAGCAGGCGCUGAAAAGGUGCAAUGCAAGUUGCAGUAUACAAAAAUACAGCAGAGCUACACAAGUUUAUGGGAGGUGGCGAACUGGCGAUGGGCAGAAUGGCUGAUGCAGGCGUGCCGGAAGGACAGGCUUGUACGAAUAUAGCUUAAUUGUCUUAGUUCCUGUCGUGGAACCUACUUUGAGUUUUCAGAAUUUGUUUCAAAAAUUAACUACUUUGAGUUCCUGUCUAUCGAUAACUAGAUUCUUGUGAUGACAGUGCAAAGAAGUAGAUGGGAAAACACCACACACCUUAAUGAGGGGGUGACCUCUGUAUAUAUGGCCAAUAUGGCUUGGAGUACGAGGAAUACAUCAAGUGUACAAGGAAAGAAUAAAUACAUCAUAAAAUACACAUAUAAUUCCUAAUACCCGCCUGCAGUCGAAGCGGGAGGAUUACGGACACACAGACUGGACCGAAACUCAAUAAACAAAGGAGUUGGCAGGCCAUUCGUCAUGAUGUCAGCGAACUGAUGAGAGGAUGGCACAUGGAGGACCCGGACCUCACCUAAGGCCACCUUCUCACGGACGAAGUGAAUAUCAAUCUCGAUGUGCUUCGUGCGUCGAUGAUGCACCGGGUUGGCUGUCAUGUAGACAGCACUCACGUUGUCGCAGUAGACAACAGUGGUCGAAGCAAGCGAGACAUGAAGCUCUUGAAGAAGUUGGCGCAGCUAGCAACACUCUGCCACAGCACGAGCCACGGCCUGGUACUCCGCCUCAGCACUGGAACGAGACACUGUGGUCUAGCGCUUGGAGGACCAAGACACCAGAUUGUCACCGAGGUAGACGCAGAAGCCGGAGGUGGAGCGUCUAGAGUCUGGGUAGCCAGCCCAGUCGGCGUCGGAGUAGGCAGUCAGAGACUGAACAGGACCAGUGCCGAUGUGAAACCCGGAGGAGGGCGUGCCCUUCACAUAGCACACGAUGCACUUGAUCAGGGCCAUGUGGGGCUCGCGCGGGUCAUGCAUGAAGAGACACACCUAUUGAACCGCAUACGCCAGAUCUGGUCAAGUUAGAGUGAGGUACUGAAGGACCCCAGCAAGACUCUGAUACUCAGAGCCGUCCUGGAGCAUGGCGUCGUUGUGUGCCGAAAGCUUAGCAUGAGUGUCAACGGGAGUCGUUAUAGAGUGACACUCAGCCAUGCCAGCACGCUGAAGAGUAUCGAAAGCGUACUGUCGCUGAGAUAGGAACAGGCCCAGGGAGAAACUUGUGAUGGAGAUGCUGAGGAAGUGGUGUAGAUCGCCAAGAUCCAUCAUGGCGAACUCGGAGUAAAGACGCCCCAUGAUGUGCCAAAGAAGAGUUGAGGACGACGCGGUGAGGACGAUGUCAUCGACGAUGUCAGCCAUGGCACUGCGAUAGUUUGCCAGAAUCGGAGAGGGCAGAGAAGAAGUCGAGGCUGUCAUACCGUAGUAAUGGCGCCGUUGUAUUGCCCCAGUCACAGACCGAGUGACAUGGCGCGGAGGGGCAGGUGGCGAUGAGGAGGGCGCGGGCGCCACGGGCGCGGAGGGAGGACUGGGGGCACUCGCCCGACCGGUCGGAGCGCUCGCCGAUGCGGUCGGGGCGUUCGCCGGAGCGGUCGGGCGUGCGCCCGACUGAGCAGGGCGCUCACCAGUGCGGUCGGGGUGCUCUCCCGACCGAGCAAGGCACUCAACGGUGCGGUCGGGGCGUGGGCCCGACCGAGCGGGGCGCCCACCGGUGCGGUUGGGGUGCUCACACGACCAAGCGGGGCGCUCACCAAUGCGGUCGGGGCGAGCACCGGUGCGGUCGGGGCGUGCACCCGAUCGAGCGGAGCGCUUGCCGGCGCGGUCGGCAUGUCCACCCGAACAAUCGGAGCGGGCGGCGGUGCGGUCGGGACGUGCGCCCGACCGAGCGGAGCACUCACUGGUGCGGUUGCAGUGGGCACCGGUGCAGUCGGGGCGCUCACCUGACCGAUCGGAGCACGCGCCGGUGCAGUCGGGGCCGCAUCCGCGAGUGGCGCGUUCGCGAUCGGAGCAGGUCGGAGCGCGGUGGAGAGCGGCGACCUGCUCGCAGUCAGAGCGGGGGACACGGUCGGCCCGUGAAACAGGAUGGUGGGGUCAUCGUUGGUAAGUUCCUGCAAAACAACUGAUGAGAGUCGCGGCUGCUCAACGUCUGACGACGGAGCGACCGAGGUAGAAGCAGAAACAUCAAAGAGGAUCAACAAAAGGAAGUCGAGCUGCGAUGGGUGAGUAGGAUGGGAGGAGAAGGGAAAGACAGACUCGUUGAAGACAACAUGGCGAGAGAUGAUGACUCGACUGGUGGACAAGUCAAGGCAGCGGUAUCACUUUUGAGAGGAGGGAUAACCGAGGAAGACACAUGCGGCUGAGCGAGGAGCAAACUUGUGGCGUGCCGUGGCUGAAAGGUUGGGGUAGCAAAGACAAUCGAAGACACGCAAGUGAGAGUACUUGAGAGGCUAGGAAUAAAGGAGGCAGUAGGGGAUAUCAUUCUGAAUGGCAGAACAUGGGUGCCGGUUCAGAAGAUAGGUGGCGGUGGCGAGCGCCUCGGCCCAGUAUGGAGCAGCCAUGGAGGCGUGAAUGAGCAAUGUGCGAGUCACGUUAUUAAGGGUGCGGAGGACGCGCUCAGCUUUCCUAUUUGGGGGAGAAGUGUAGGGACACAAGAGGCGCAAGUGGAUGCCCCGAAGAGUCAAAAAAGAAGUGAGAGGUUUAUUGACAAACUUGGUCCCGUUGUCAGCUUGGACGAUUCGAACAGGAAGACUAAACUGCGUGUGAGCAUAGGUGCAGAAAUCAGUGAUGUGUGAGGUGACUUCAGACUUGUGAACUAGAGGAAACGUCCAACAAAAACGUGAGAAGUCAUCCAAAAUGACUAGGUGGUAGCGAUAACCAGAGACGCUAACUAGGGAGAAGUCCAAACAUCACAGUGAACUAACUCAAAAGGCGUAGAGCUGCGAGAGUUAGAAUGUGAGAAAAGUAACCACACAUAUUUCCCUAACUGACAUGAAUGGCAUAGAGUAUGACUAUCUUUAUUACAAGCAAUGGAUGAAGUCUGUCUAAGUGUGGUGAUGGCAGCAGGACCGGGAUGACCAAGACGGAGAUGCCACAAACUGGAGAAGAUGGCGAGGUCGGCGUGGGGUGCUACAAAGCUGCCUGCUGGAGGCAUGGUGUAAAGAUCGCCAUCGCUAUUGCAGCGAAGAAUAACGUGUCUGGUCGGAAGAUCCUUGACAAAAAAACCAAAAGCGUCAAACUCUAUGGUGCAGUUAUUGUCCUUAGUAAAUUGACGAACAGAAAGCAUAUUACGAACCAAAGAAGGAACAACAAGGACAUUAUUAAGAUGAAAGUGAGAGGUGGGGGUGGUAAGGGUGGAGUUGCCAUGGCACGUGACAGCAAGGGUAUGACCAUUACCGAUGAUAAUGGAGGAGUGAGAGGGAGGGAGUCGGGAAAGAAGAAUACCAUCCAAGAAUGACAUGUGGCCGAAGGCACCUGAGUCAACCACCCAAUCGCUGUUCUUAGCGCUAUCUGGUUCAGGGCAGCGACCAGACCCGCCUAGUCCCAGGUUGACGCCUGAGUGGACGCUUGAACAGGGGCGUAGGCGGCGUGAGCCUGCAGAGGGGGGCCGAGGAGACCAAGGGCGCCGGGGUGCCAGCCCCCACCACCGCCAGCCUGCUGGAAACUCGUGGCGUCGUAGGAGCUGACCUCGGGACUGAAACAGAACCACGAGAUGGUAGGCCAUGGGGGCUCAUCGCCGUGAGAGUUGCCGCCGCCAGGGGGCACCUAGAAGCCGUCGCCGCCCUUAUUCGGCCACUUCUUCUUGCCACCGCCACCGUCGCUGCCGCUGCAGCCGCGGCUACUGCUGCUUCCGCCGCCACCCAUCUAGAUAGAACCAGACGUCGAGCGACACCCGCCCGUACAGCCGGAGGACGAGGAGGUCCCGGCGAGGAGGGUAGUGGAGUUGGAGAUCUUCUCCUUGUUGGCAAGGCGAAGUUCUUUCAGGACGAGCAUGUCCCACGCCUGGGCGAAGGACGGGAAGCCAGCAGAGGAGUUGGCGAUGUCGUCAGUGGUGUUGGAGAAGUGCGGAUUGAGGCCGUGGAGGAGGUUCAGGACAAUUUGGGAGUCCUGAACGGGAUGGCCGACGUCACAGAGGGCGUCGGCGAGGGUCUUCAUGCGGCUGCAGUACUCGGCGAUGGUGGAGUCACCCUGCGUCAUGGAGUGGAAGUCGUGGUUGAGGAAGAUUACCCGGGACUGCUUGUUGGCGCAAAAGAGACCCUCGAUGGCGAGCUAAAGAUCCCUGACAGUCUGAUCGUCAUCGGUCAUGGCGAGGUCGAGGACGGAGUCGUCGACGGAGCUGAAGAACUAGGAGCGGAGGCAGCAAUCCGCUUGAUCCCAGUCGGGGUCCUGGGGUCGGGACGCCACCGUGCCAUCGAUGUGUGACUUAAGGCCGAACUUGCCGCACAUGGACUUGAAGAAGGACGCCCAUCGAGAGUAUGCGUUGGACUUCAUCGUCGGCGUCACGGGAACGUGAGACUUGACAGAUACGGUGGCGUAGGGGUAGACGGCGAGCGGCGGCAGCGGGUACACGAUGAAGCCACCGCCGCAGUUGCCGGCGACGAGAAGCCUGGGGCGUAUCGCCAGAGGAGCCACCAGUGGCAGGUGGCGGCACAGAUGCACCGCCGUGGGCAGCAGGGUGUGGUUCAGGAGGCGGCACAGGAUUAGCAGCAAGAGCGGUGGUGUCGUCGGACUUAGAGGAGUCAGCGGAGAACAUGGCGCAUGACCGGAGGGGGGAGCCGGUCGGGGAACUGGUCGGGGAGGGGGGCCAGUCGGGGAGGUGCAGCGGAGGGUGGGUGGUGGCGGGAUAGCAGGGGGCGCUGCCUAGGGUUGCGCGGAGCAGGGGAAGGCGCAGGGAGAGGAGGCCCACGAUCUUAAUCUCAUGAUACCAUGUAGAGAAGUAGAUGGGAAAACACCACACACCCUAAUAAGAAGGGGUGGCAUCUAUAUAUAUGACCAAUAUGACUUGGAGUAUAAAGAAUACAUCAAGUGUACAAGGAAAGAAUAAAUACAUUCUAAAAUACACAUAUACUUCCUAAUAAAAAGACCAGCUAGUCUCGAAUAGGCAUUCAUAGUGAUAGGGUGUGUGUUUGUGUACAUAUAUGGAAGCAUUUGUUUGCGUUGUGUUUCUAAAGAAAAUGGCCCCAUGUGUCAUGUCGUGGAGGCAUAGUUUAAUUUUGUCCCCUUCCUCAUUGAUCAAGAAUAAACACGGCACACGAAAGGAGAACAGAUUGAUCAUAUACGCACGCACUAAAACAAACAAAUAUGCUCUCGCCCUUGUUUUGCUCGAGUCUCGAUCAUUAAAAAAGGAGAGGGGCCGAGCGGAAAUAUUUAAUCUGAUUUGUAUCCAUUUUAUAUAUGAAGCCAAAUUUCCAAAAAGGGCACAAGUCUUGAAAUAUAAAAUAUUUGAACAGAAGUGUGGAGAAUAUAGCAUAGGGAAAUAGCCGGAGUGAUGCAUCAUUUUGUCAGGUUCCACGGGCACAUCCCAGAAGCAUUCAUAAGCAGGCAGCACAGUGCCCCCCUUACAGAGCCCAUCCGACCACCAACUCUUGAUCACAAGCACUAGCCGCCAUGGCCGCGGCUGCCCUCCGAACGGAGCGCGCACAAUUCCAGCAGCGACUCCUGCUCGGUGUCGGCUCCGCAAGUUAGCGCUGAUCACCCCCAGUUCGCCGCAUUUCGGCAUCCGCACAGAUUCUGCCGAGGAAUUCAUGGCGCGCCACGGAGCAGGAACAUCUGUGCGCCGUCGCUGUAUAGUAGUUUGUCGAGCCGUCAUGUCAUGGCGGCGCGCGCUCCUGCUGUUCCUGCUCGCCUCGCCGUUCUUCCUGUGCGAUGCGGACUCGGCGCAGGGCGAGGCCGAGGCGCUCGCGAGGUGGAAGGACAGCCUCGCCCCCGCGGCGGCCGCCGCGCUCGCCUCCUGGUCGCUGCUGAACGGCUCCGCGGUGGCCGCCGCGCCGCCGGCGCCGUGCUCGUGGCGCGGCGUGUCGUGCGACCCCCUCGGCCGCGUCGUGGGGGUCGACGUGGCCGGCGCGGGCCUCGCCGGCACGCUCGGCGCCCUGGACCUGUCGUCCCUGCCCAGCCUCGCCAGCCUCAACCUCAGCUCCAACGCGCUGACGGGGCCGGUCUUCCCGUCGAACAUCUCCGCGCCGCUGCUCAGCUUCAGGUCCGUCGACCUGGCGAACAACAACUUGUCGGGUCCGAUCCCGGCGACGCUGCCGGCGUACAUGCCGAACCUCGAGCACCUCAACCUCUCGUCCAACCAGUUCGCCGGCGGAAUACCGGCGACCCUCGUGAAGCUGACCAAGCUUAAGAGUCUUGUCCUCGGCUCUAACAACCUCGUCGGCGGCAUACCGGCGGUGCUUGGAAACGUCACCGGGCUACGAGAGCUCGAGCUGUCCAACAACCCGUUGGGCGGCACGAUCCCCGCUGCUCUCGGCAAGCUCCUGUCCCUGGAGCACCUCAACGUCAGCCUCACUCAGCUGGAGUCAACGAUUCCAACCGAGCUCAGCCUCUGCACCAACCUCACCGUCGUCGGCCUCGCGGCGAACAAGCUCUCCGGCGGGCUGCCGCCGUCGCUGGCCAAGCUGACAAAAGUACGGGAGUUCAACGUCUCCAAGAACAUGCUCACCGGCGAGGUACUGCCGGACUACUUCACGUCGUGGACCGAUCUCAGGGUGUUCCAGGCGAACGGCAACCGUUUCACCGGCGGGAUUCCACCGGAGGUUGCGACGGCAUCGAAGAUGGAGUUCCUCUCCUUGGCGACCAACAACCUCUCCGGCACGAUCCCGCCGGUCAUCGGGAAGCUGACGAGCCUCGAGGUGCUGGACCUCUCCGAGAAUGAGUUUUCCGGCGCGAUCCCCCGGGCGAUCGGCAACCUCACGAGCCUCAGGGUACUGAGGCUGUACGACAACAAGCUCACCGGCCGGUUUCCGGACGAGUUCGGGAACAUGACGGCGCUGCAGAGGCUGUCGAUAAACACCAACAUGCUGGAGGGCGAGCUGCCGGCGGGGCUCACCCGGCUGCCGAACCUCCUCGGCAUCGUUGCCUUCGAUAACCUGCUCUCCGGCGCCAUCCCGCCGGAUUUCGGCCGGAAUCUGUCCAUCUUCAGCAUGUCGAACAACAAGUUCUCCGGCAGGCUGCCCCCGGGGCUGUGCAGCACGCCGCGCCUCCAGUACCUCUCCCUCGACGACAACGACAUCUCCGGCGUCGUGCCCGCUUGCUACCGCAACUUUACCAGGCUGGUGCGGUUCCGGAUGGCGCGGAACCGGUUGUCCGGCGACGUGUCGGAGAUCUUGGGAUCGCAUCCUGACCUGUACUACGUUGACAUGUCCGGGAACUCGUUCGAUGGCGAGCUCCCGGAGCACUGGUCUCAGUUCAAGAGCCUCUCGUACCUGCACUUGGACGGUAACAGGAUCACCGGGACAAUUCCGGAUAGCUACAGUUCCAUGGCUGCAUUGGAAGACUUGAGCCUCGCAUCGAAUCGUCUAGCCGGCAUGAUACCGCCGGAGCUCGGUGGAUUGCCGUUGCUCAAGCUGGAUUUGAGUCACAACAUGCUGUCGGGACAGAUCCCUCUGGCACUCGGGAACGCCACGCGGAUGCUACGGCUGGACCUGUCCGGCAAUCGUCUCGACGGUGGCGUGCCGGUGGAGCUGACCAAACUUGCCCACAUGUGGCACCUGAACCUGAGCAGCAACAACCUGACCGGGAGAGUCCCGGCUCUGCUCGGAAAGAUGGCCUCGCUGCAGGAGCUGGAUCUUAGCGGCAACCCGGGCCUGUGCGGCGACAUCGCCGGCCUGAAUCCCUGUCGCCUGGAGCCCAUCAGAGGCUCCUCCAAACGCCACAUCGCGAGGCGGCGGUUUAUCAUCGCCGCCACCGCGGUCUCCGCCGCGGCGCUAAUGACCUCUGUUAUGGCCGUGGCGGUGUGCGCUCUGGCCCGCAGGAGGAGGAGGAGGCGGGCUGGUAAGGACAGCACGGACACGGCGGCGAGCGGCGGCACGGCGGCUCCGACGGCCUCCGUCUGGGGCAAGGACGCGGAAUUCUCGUUCGGCGACAUCCUGGCGGCGACGGAGCACUUCAAUGAGUCCUACUGCAUCGGCAGGGGCAGCUUCGGGAGCGUGUACCGCGCCGACCUGCCCGGCGGCCACAGCCUCGCCGUGAAGCGCCUGGACGCGUCGGAGACCGGCGACGCGUGCUGGGGCACCAGCGAGAAGAGCUUCGAGAACGAGGUCCGGGCGCUGACCCGCGUCCGGCACCGGAACAUCGUGAGGCUGCACGGGUUCUGCGCCGUGGGCGGGCACAUGUACCUGGCGUACGAGCUCGUGGAGCGGGGCAGCCUCGGGAAGGUGCUGCACGGCGCCGGGCGGAGCUGCGAGCGGUUCGGCUGGGCGGCGCGGGCGCGCGCGAUCGGCGGGCUCGCGCACGCGCUGGCCUACCUCCACCACGACUGCUCGCCGCCGGUGGUCCACCGCGACGUGACCGUCAACAACGUGCUGCUGGACACGGACUUCGAGGCCCGGGUGUCGGACUUCGGCACGGCGAGGUUCCUCGCCCCCGGCCGCUCCGACUGCACCAGCGUCGCCGGCUCCUACGGCUACAUGGCGCCAGGUAAAGACCCUGCAACCUGCAUUCGCAAUGGCUGCACGGUAUAGUGCAAUGGGCCCCUGCAUCUUCCGUUUCUGACAAAUGGUGGAAGCAGAGCUGGCGUACUUGAGGGUGACGACCAAGUGCGACGUGUACAGCUUCGGGGUGGUGGCGCUGGAGAUCCUGAUGGGCAAGUACCCGGGCGGACUCAUCAGCUCGCUGCACUCGAGGCUGCCCGAGGAGCAGCAGGCCGGCGGGUCGCUGCUGCUCAAGGACGCCGUCGACCAGAGGCUGGACCCGCCCGGGGGGCAGGUUGCCGGGCGGGUGGUGUUCGCGUUCGUGGUGGCGCUGUCCUGCGUCCGGGAGGACCCGGACGCCCGGCCGACCAUGCGGAACGUCGCGCAGGAGCUCUCGGCGCGGAGGCUGCCGGUGCUGGACAGGCCCUUCGCCGCGAUCAGGGUCGCCGACCUGACUGGUUCACGCGGAUAGCGCGCUGCAGGAUUUGUACAGAAGCAGAAUUGUUUGCAAGGACCUCGAGGCUCGGAUUAACUUGGAUUGUUCAGUGAGUGAUUGCAAGUGAAGUGGCGGAUUGAAACUUCGAAGUGACAGAAAUUGAAAAGCUCGAACUCGAAGUGGAUCAGAACGGUUACUGUUUUCGUUCAAUGGCGACGCGCCACAAUCCUACUACGACUGCUUAUAGGAUCAAGCGUCCAUGGCGAUGUGACGGAACAUGACACAAAUGUCACAGCGCAUUUUAUGAUCUCGUAAACUUCAGCCAGGCCAAAAAAGUUAAAGAACAUACGACCUUGCUACUCAAUUUAUUAAAUGCAUUCCACAAGAACCGUGACAAAUCACGUCCACGAGAUACUUCCAUAUAACUCCAAAUGUACGAAAGAGGAUCAAAAAUUGUCAAAAUUGCAAAGCAAGCAGCACGGCUCCAAAAAGGAGAACAUAUAACAGAAGUUUCAGGGUACAGUAUAGAAGGUGUUCGCAUUUCACUAUAGUCGCGCGCCAAAGCUUCACUCGUCAUCACCGAAUGUUGUCUUCUUUCCUG